rnacentral:rRNA from 1 species
UUUCCUACGGGCGGCUGCAGUGGGGAAUCUUGCGCAAUGGGGGCAACCCUGACGCAGCCAUGCCGCGUGAAUGAUGAAGGCCUUAGGGUUGUAAAGUUCUUUUGCCCGUGACGAUGAUGACGGUAACGGGAGAAUAAGCUCCGGCUAACUUCGUGCCAGCAGCCGCGGUAAUACGAAGGGGGCUAGCGUUGUUCGGAAUUACUGGGCGUAAAGCGCGCGCAGGCGGUUCGAUAAGUUAGGGGUGAAAUCCCCGGGCUCAACCCGGGAAUGGCCUGUAAGACUGGCGAGCUAGAGGACGAGAGAGGUGAGUGGAAUUCCCAGUGUAGAGGUGAAAUUCGUAGAUAUUGGGAAGAACACCGGUGGCGAAGGCGGCUCACUGGCUCGUUUCUGACGCUGAGGCGCGAAAGCGUGGGGAGCAAACAGGAUUAGAUACCCUGGUAGUCAG